rnacentral:rRNA from 1 species
AUUGAACGCUGGCGGCAUGCUUUACACAUGCAAGUCGAACGGUAACAGGCCGCAAGGUGCUGACGAGUGGCGAACGGGUGAGUAAUGCAUCGGAACGUGCCCAGUCGUGGGGGAUAACUACUCGAAAGAGUAGCUAAUACCGCAUACGAUCUAUGGAUGAAAGCGGGGGACCGUAAGGCCUCGCGCGAUUGGAGCUGCCGCUGUCAGAUUAGGUAGUUGGUGGGGUAAAGGCUCACCAAGCCAACGAUCUGUAGCUGGUCUGAGAGGACAACCAGCCACACUGGGACUGAGACACGGCCCAGACUCCUACGGGAGGCAGCAGUGGGGAAUUUUGGACAAUGGGCGCAAGCCUGAUCCAGCAAUGCCGCGUGCAGGAAGAAGGCCUUCGGGUUGUAAACUGCUUUUGUACGGAACGAAACGGCUCUGGUUAAUACCCGGGGCUAAUGACGGUACCGUAAGAAUAAGCACCGGCUAACUACGUG